GGCGCCCUCGUGGUUAGAGCGUCCGCCUCGGAUGCGGAAAUCGUGGUUUCAAUCCCCGGCUGAGUCA